GACGAACGCUGGCGGCGUGCCUAAUACAUGCAAGUCGAGCGGACUGAUUAAGAGCUUGCUCUUAUGACGUUAGCGGCGGACGGGUGAGUAACACGUGGGCAACCUGCCCUGUAGAUCGGGAUAACACCGAGAAAUCGGUGCUAAUACCGGGUAAUAUCUGAGAUCACAUGAUCUUAGGUUAAAAGAUGGCUCCGGCUAUCACUACAGGAUGGGCCCGCGGCGCAUUAGCUAGUUGGUAAGGUAAUGGCUUACCAAGGCGACGAUGCGUAGCCGACCUGAGAGGGUGAUCGGUCACACUGGGACUGAGACACGGCCCAGACUCCUACGGGAGGCAGCAGUAGGGAAUCUUCCGCAAUGGACGAAAGUCUGACGGAGCAACGCCGCGUGAGUGAUGAAGGGUUUCGGCUCGUAAAGCUCUGUUGUUAGGGAAGAAACAGUACCGAACGAACUAGGUCGGUACCUUGACGGUACCUAACCAGAAAGCCACGGCUAACUACGUG
rnacentral:rRNA from 1 species